rnacentral:lncRNA from 1 species
UUUUUUUUUUUUUUUUGUCUUUUUGCUUUUUCUUGGGCCGCUCCCGCGGCAUAUGGAGGGUCCCAGGCUAGGGGUCUAAUCGGAGCCAUAGCCACCGGCCUACACCAGAGCCACAGCAACACGAGAUCUGAGCUGCGUCUGCAACCUACACCACAGCUCACGGCAACGCCAGAUUGUCAACCCACUGAGCAAGGGCAGGGACCGAACCCGCAACCUCAUGGUUCCUAGUCGGAUUCGUUAACCACUGCGCCAUGACGGGAACUCCCAUUCUUUUUCUCAUACUAUCUUCCAUCAUGUUCUGCCCCAAGAGAUUGGAUAGAGUUCCCUCUGCUGUACAGCAGGACCUAAUUGUUUUAUCCAUUCUAAAUGUAAUCGCUCACAUCCACCAACCCCAAACUCCCUGUCCAUCCCACUUCCUUCCCCUUGGCAACCACAAGUCUGCUCUCCAUGUCCAUGAUAUGUUUUCGUUUUGUGGAUAGGAUCAUUUGUGCCAUAUUUUAGAUUCCACAUACAGGAUCAAGAUACCAUAGGAUAUAGUCCUGUCAGGAUCAAGACAAAGAUGUCUACCUUCACCACUGUUAUUCAAGUCCCAGCCAUGGCAAUCAGAGAAGGAAAAGAAAUAAAAGCCAUACAAAUUGGCGAAGAAGAAUUUCCAUUGCUACUGGUGUACCCAUGCAUAUUUGAUGUUAUCCAAGGGUGUCCAGUAAGGAGAGGCGGUCCAACGAACAUUGGUCAAGGGCUGCCGGGGAGCCAGGUAGCAUCGAUUGUUGUCAUUGAUUCCAGAACUUGUGUUCCCAUUUAACAGCAAGCAUACCCAUCACAAGGUGAAACCCAAGACUUAGAAUAAGAUAACUUGAGCCAUAGCAACACAGGAUCUGAAUCCGGUCUGCGAUCUACACCACAGCUCACUGCAAUCCCAGGAUUCUUAACCCACUGAAUGAGGUCAGGGAUCGAACCUACGCCCUCAUGGAUGCUAGUCAGACUUGUUUCCACUGAUCCACGACGGGAACUCCCUCCCCAGCUUUUUAAUAGAAUAUUCUUCAUUUGGUGUUUGUCUGUCAUGUCCUCAUAAUUAGAUCGAGGUUAUAUUGUCCCAGCCAGAGAACUGCAGAGGUGAUACUAGAUCCUUCUCAGGGCAUCUCAUCUAGAGACACAGCCUCCAUCUGCCUCUCACUAGUGAUAAUUUUGAUCACCCAGUCAAGGUGCCUGAUUUUUCUACUGAAUAGUUACAUAUUUUUCUCUUGUAACUAAUGAGCAAUCUGGGUGAUAUUUAAAGGCCUUGUACAAAUAUGUUGCACCUCAUCAAAAUUUCCCCUUGGAAAAAAAAAAAAAAAAGAAUAAGAUAACUUGCCCAGAGGCAUGGUGCGGAGCCACCAUCUGCAGCCUAAGUUUCUUUCAUCACAUGGGGCUGCCGGUGAGAACCAUGAACCUGGAUCUGCUUCAGGAAUAACAUCCAAUUUCCUCACCUCCUGCCUCCCCCACACCCCUCAUCCUUCUAGAAUCAGUGGAUCCCUGCCACAACUGAGGAAGAUGACUAGGAUUGGGACCGAACCACCGAAUGACGUAGCAACCGGAACCAAAACAUAACAUAACAUAACAUAACCAUCAGCUACUCACUGUGCAAUUGCCACAAUUAUCCAAGGUGGGCAACUACUACUGUUUUCAUCAUUUUGCUCUGAUAGAACAGAGUAUCCGAGAGAUUAAGCAAUCUGCACAAGGGCACAUAACUGCUACGUGGCAGGGCUGAGAUUCGAAUGCUGGUCUUUCCAAGAGGCAGCUGGAGCUACCGGGGAAGUGGGAAAUCAGAGACCAAAACAGGGACAAAAGUGGGGCUACUGUGUGUGCAGCAUGAAGCUAGGCUCUGACGAUUGGGAGCAGGGGGCAGAAUGGGAGGCUGCAAAGUGAGGAAGGGCGCUUAAGGUAUUCUGCAGUCAAAGGACGCAUUCACCACCCAAGAGCUGGUCGUGGGCAAUGGGGGGUGGCAUUUACGAGGCAUCCUUUAGGGUUCCAUUGGUACUUUAGGGUACCAAUGCGACUAUUCAAAAUUCUGUCCCCAGCAUCAUGGGUCGGGGGCACAAGAGGAGACUGGAUGGAGGUCCCGGGAGAGCCUCUGAGCGUGGAGCCAACAGUCCUGACGCAGGAGGAGAGGCUCUCAGCAGAGCCCUCGGAUGCACUUCUCUUCAAUCACUCAGCUGUGUCUCCCCGGAGCCCUGAGAGGCAGUGCAGGCAAAGGCAGACGAGGCACCUGCGAGAAAGAAUGAGGACUCUGACAUCAGACAGAGCUAUUAUGAGCUCCUGCUCCCCUGAUUCGUGGCUCUGAGACUCUGGGGACUUGCUCAUUUCCCUGAGCCUCAGCAUCUCAGCUGUGACAUGGAGAUAUUACCUUUCCUCCUAAAGUGCCAAAGACAAAAACCAUGUAACCCGUGGAGACAUCCAGAGCACACGGGGGAUCAUCAAAGCAGGUGAGUCCUUCUCACCUCCACGUGGGGAAAACACUCAGUGUGAGGAACUAGGGAGAAAAUAAAGAAUCAGGAGGCUUUUUAUUGCUUUUUAGGAGCUUAUAAUUUAGUUGGAACGCAGGACAAAAAGGAAUAAGCAGAAGAAAAAAUAAAUAAAUACUGCAAUCUCCUGAGGGGUCGCCUGGCUUCCU